UCAUCGGUGUACGAUGGGGAUGCGUUCCAUUAGGUAGUAGGCGGGGUAACGGCCCACCUAGCCUACGAUGGAUAGGGGUUCUGAGAGGAAGGUCCCCCACAUUGGAACUGAGACACGGUCCAAACUCCUACGGGAGGCAGCAGUGAGGAAUAUUGGUCAAUGGACGAGAGUCUGAACCAGCCAAGUAGCGUGAAGGAUGAAGGUCCUACGGAUUGUAAACUUCUUUUAUAAGGGAAUAAAACCUCCCACGUGUGGGAGCUUGUAUGUACCUUAUGAAUAAGCAUCGGCUAACUCCGUGCCAGCAGCCGCGGUAAUACGGAGGAUGCGAGCGUUAUCCGGAUUUAUUGGGUUUAAAGGGAGCGCAGACGGGUCGUUAAGUCAGCUGUGAAAGUUUGGGGCUCAACCUUAAAAUUGCAGUUGAUACUGGCGUCCUUGAGUGCGGUUGAGGUGUGCGGAAUUCGUGGUGUAGCGGUGAAAUGCUUAGAUAUCACGAAGAACUCCGAUUGCGAAGGCAGCACACUAAGCCGUAACUGACGUUCAUGCUCGAAAGUGUGGGUAUCAAA
rnacentral:rRNA from 1 species